CCGCCUCCUCCUCCACCAGCACCACUCCCUCCGGGGCACCCCGGUCCCUGCAGAGUCCCUGGCCGGCGCCGCCUCCACUGCGGCCCCCUGAAUCCCGAGUCUGCUGCGCCCAACUGGUAGGACAGACGGACGGACAGAUUCCUCUCGCCUAUCACUCCGCCGCUGCUGCCUUAAGCGGCCCCGCGUCGGGAGAACUGGGAUCGCCCCAAGAGCACCGCGAGGGGUCAUCUCAGGCUGGCUGCAUGCCUCAGCUGAAGAUCCCAGCUCCUGUCAAUGCCACCUCUCUGCUUGACUGUCUCCUUCCAGAUUCGAUACAAGCAAGGAAAUGUGUGGCAUCUGGCUACCAUGAGCUGAAGACAAAGCCUACAUGGGGAAAAGUGCAACACCAGGAGAAUGGGAGAGAAAUGGAGCCACGCACUGAUGCUAUUAUGAAACAUCUCAAUCAAACUGCACCUCAAGACCGCCCUAUCACCGCAUUUGUCAUUUACAUGAGCCAAUAAACUCUCUCAUUUAAGUCAA
rnacentral:antisense_RNA from 1 species